UUGCUGAAGUUUGGAGGUCCUAGAGAAUAAUCUCCAGCUAGAUCUGGGCUUCCAAGCAAAGAAACUAAUGCAUUUCUCUCUUGGGUGAAAUAAAAGGAGAAGACCUUUGGUCUGAGAAGCCACUUUAGUGCAAAUGUGAGACAUGUCAUUAUUACAGGAAUCAUCAUCACCAGCCUCUUACCAGCUGCUGAAUGCCCACCAUGUUCCAAGGAAUUAAGAGGCACUAUCCCUACCUCACAUCAACGGCAAGGGAGUAAGCAUUCCAGAUAAGGAAGAUUGAACACAGCUGCAAAGCUGGAGAAGGGUUCUUCCAGCACAGAUGGGAAAGGGCACAGGCCCUGAAGUGCUCUAAGCAAUGUGGAGAGAGAUUGAGGCUGAGAGCCAGAUCUGGGAUGAGGAGUCACCUGUACCGAGUGCCCAGUCCUCAACCCUCGCCUCAGCACCAGAGGGCUGCUGAAGGAGCAUGAUGUCACUUCUUCCAUGACCUCUGCAAGGAUAGGAGGCAGCUAAAUGUGGGGCCAUACCCAAAUGCUGGCCUGUGCACAAGUUCUCUAUCAUUCUAUUUCUGAAGAUCACACACAGGGAGGCACGGAUGUACUCAAACGUUUACUUUUUUGUCCAAAGGUAACACCAUGGUCUCAAUAGCACAAAGCAAGCAAUACGCAUGCUCAUUGAACAAAUCUAUCCUCCACACUCUGGGGAAAUCCUAUGCAGCCUGUGUCAAGUAUGUCUUUAUGGAGAUUCUGCAUGGGCUGCUGCCAAGCAUCCAGGGGUAUUACCAGCCUGGGUGGUUUCCCAUGUCAAUUUCUGUGGAGGUUUUCAGGCCAUUCAGAUAAUAUAAAUAUAAAUCCAAAUCCAUAUGAGGAAAAGCCUGUGGUUAAGAACUCUCUGGGGAAACUUUCCCCCUCUAUUAGAGCCUAGGAUAAGAGGCAAUCUUUAUCAUCUCUCUGUGUCAGCAAAAAGAAUUCUUUUUACCUAGUCCACCAUACCAGCGGGUGCAGACUUUCAAGGGACCUAGUUUCACGCAGCGAUCUUAGUUCCGCUACACCAUGUGGGCCCACAGUUUCAUUCACUGCAACAGCAGGUCUACUAAAGCCCAAACUUCCAGGUAAGUGAGAGCAGCAAACAUCCAGGGCAACUGAGGUCAGGUUAAGGGGCUAACUAGUCUGGUUUUCAGUUUAUUCUUGGCUUCUAGGUCCCUGGGAAUUUCUCUUACUUUCUUGCAAUUUCAGCUAUAAAGGACUUUAUUAUAUUUUAUCUACAAUGUUACAGGUUAGCUAGCCUGUCAUAAUGCUGAAAAUGUAAGUCUGCAGGUACACUUCUCAAAGAAAUCAGGGGUUCUACUGCUCAGAGGCCCAAAAAGGGAAUCAAGCCAGACAGAAGCAGGCUUAGAAUUUUUUUAUCUUUCACUAUCUGUCAUUCAAACCCUUUCAUAUAAAUCACUUGUAAAAAUUAUCAGACUAUAAAAAUGAGGCCCAGAAGGCCUUAUUCAUUUAUUUAGUAAAUACUUCUGGGUGCCCACUCCAAGUCAGGCCAAAAGGUAGGUGCUGAGGCGACAAAAAGGAAUCAGAAGUCCCUGCCCACAUCCAAGUGAGGGAGACAGACAUACAGGGACAAU